UGAUAUUAUAAAGAGAGGGCCGAACCUCCUACGAGGUCCCCGCGCAAAAGGGGCGCGCGGGGUAUGUGAGACUCAUCGAUCUGCAUGGUGUUGUGAGCAGACCGCGGGCCCAGGGAUUUUAGGACCCACCCACUAAACGACUCCCCUGCACUCUUACACCCGACGUCCGAUCCCUCCGAGGUCAGAACCCGGAUGAGGUAGGGGGGCUACCGCGGUCAACACUACAACCAGACGGCGCGGCUCACCCCAAGGACGCCCAGCCGACGGAGCCUUCGAGGAGGGUGGUGGUACCUACCCGUGCGGACUCACAAGAGGUCCUGCCAUCAGUAAAAAAGGAGUUUCGAGGACUCUUUUGACGGCUCGUUUGAAGAAGCUAUUACAUUUUAAUCAUUUGGUUAGUCGCAUAAAUGACCUCUGUGUGCCUUUCCAGAGCGCUCCGACUUUAGGUGGAUUUUUCCGUAUUGAAAUUUGUCAACAGGCAAAAUUGUAUGGUUUCAACUAAAAAUAAUUACAACAACACGUACACACUUACAUAUAAGGUAAAAAUAAUGUUUAUAGUGCCGUAAUAAAUAGCGGACGUAGAGGAAAAUCGUGUUAGAUUUCAAAUAAGCGAACAUUGGAAGAGUGCAUAUAAUAAAUACAACUGCUUAAAAUAACUAGAGGUCCCGCAGUAGUCGUAAUUCGACUAUAAUUAAUUGGAAUUUAUUUCGCAGAAUCUACCACCGGAUCGGAAUCGCGACCCACUGAGAAGAACCGGCGAGUAACUCAGUGGGAGUUUGUUGCCAAUUACCAGGGUCCACCACACCGAUUGUGUCGAACGUGAUGGGGUGUGCGUUGCUACUAAUCUGGCUGGGCGCAAGCAUGCUGUGGCCAGCGCGCUGCCACGAAACCCAGCCUCAUCCCAGCGACUCUGAUUUUCUGCUGUAUCUAAUCGAUUUGGUCCUGGCGCCCGCGCUAAGGAUGCCCAAAGAUGUCGGCGCGGUCCUCGGAUCCGGAAACUGCCCAUCCGACUACGUCCCAAUGGAAAUUACCGACCAUAACAAGACUUCGUUUCUCUGCGUGGAAAACGAUGACUUAAUAUGAUUGUAAUAGUAUUUCUAACCAGAAUAUAUCGAGGGAUGAAAGGAUUGAAUCGACUUUUGCAACUGUACAGCAGAGCGCGUUUAGGGGUUGAAAUUUGGAAAACAUAUUGUAAUGAAAACAAAACAUCUCCAGCUAUUUAUUUGAACUAGAGGUCCCGCAGUAGUCGAAAUUCGACUAUAAUUAAUUGGAAUUGUAACUUUGUACACUAUUAUGAUUGUACUUUAUACUUCUAUAAUCACAAAUUUCGCCAAGACUACACUAUAAAAAUAGUAACAAAGACACACAAUAUUGAAUCUGUUCUCAAUUUGACAACAAACGUCAAGAACAAAAGUUUGACAAUAAAUAUUAUGCAUGCGUGUGUGCCUCAAAUACAUGGUAUGUAGUGUGUGUAAUGUUUUCUUUAUUGAUUUAAUGUAUCUUUUAUGCAUUAUUUAAAAAAAAUAUUAGCAUAGUACACUGCUUCUCUAUAUUCUCUAUAAGUGUGGAAAAUUUCAUACUCCUCCGUCCGCGCAAUUUUCGUAAAAAGGGAUACAAAGUUUUUGCUUCACGUAUUAAUAUAUAGAUGAAAUAAACGUCAUUAAAGCUCAAUUAAAAACAUCGAACUGUUGAUGCUAAUCUUUAAAACAAAUAAAUAAAAUUGAUGUGUCUGUUUGUAAUAAUAAAAUAACCACUUUUUACUAAAUGCGUAAGUAUAUAUACCAGAGUACAUAUAGAAUUUUUUUUUGUCUGUCUGUCUGUUUGUUCCGCCUAAUCUCUUGAACGGCUGGACCGAUUUUGACGAGACUUUCACUGAUAGUUAGCUGAUGAUAUAAGGAGUAACUUGGACUUGGACCUUUUUUAGACUAACUUCGCCCCGCAUCGUCACCCGCGACUAUAGUCGCAGGUAACAUCGCGGGACUCAGCUAUUACCAAAUAAAACGCACCUUUAAUUACAAAGAUAAAUGUUGAGUACUCGUUCACACAUCU